UACAGAGGUCCCAAGCGUUGUUCGGAUUCACUGGGCGUAAAGGGUGCGUAGGCGGUCGGGGUAAGUCUGAUGUGAAAUCUCACAGCUUAACUGUGAAACUGCAUUGGAUACUAUUCGGCUUGAGAGUUGGAGGGGGGACUGGAAUUCUUGGUGUAGCAGUGAAAUGCGUAGAUAUCAAGAGGAACACCAGUGGCGAAGGCGAGUCCCUGGACAACUUCUGACGCUGAGGCACGAAAGCUAGGGGAGCAAACAGG
rnacentral:rRNA from 1 species